UCUCUCUCUCUCUCUCUCUCUCGGCGAUUCAGAAACCCCUGCUUUCUCUCUCAAAUGAGAUCUAGGGUUUCUAUAUGUGAUUCAAGAUCUGGCUAUCACAGCUUUCUCUCUCAAACGAGAUCUAGGGUUUCUACAUGCGCUUCAAGAUCUGGCUUUCACAGUUCGGUUCGACACUUCCAUUGGAACCAAAAAAUCUGAGCCAAAUCAGGCCUCUGGAGCGUACAUCUUCCGUCCUCUCAAACGAGAUCUAGGGUUUCUACAUACGCUUCAAGAUCUGGCUUUCACAGUUCGGUUCAACACUUCCAUGGAACCAAAAAAUCUGAGCCAAAUCAGGCCUCUGUAACGUACAUCUUCCGUCCUCUCAAACGAGAUCUAGGGUUUCUACAUGCGCUUCAAGAUCUGGCUUUCACAGUUCGGUUCGACACUUCCAUGGAACCAAAAAAUCUGAGCCAAAUCAGGCCUCUGGAGCGUACAUCUUCCGUCCUAAUGGAAAGUUUCCAAUAAAACCUGCAGGACAGAAAGCUUUUUGAGUUAUAAAAGGUAAAGCCGAAAAGUGAAGCCGUGAAGGUGAGGCUGAGGGUGUAGAAGAUACCAUCCUUAUCUGAUCUACCUUUUUGUUUGGUAUUUGUGUAGUUUAUGUUUAUACGCUGUUAAAUUUCAUGUGUUAUAAGUUGUUUUAAACAGUUUUGCUACUGUUUUUGGAUGUAUUUAUGUUAGAUCUGCGUAAAAUUUUCAGAUC